rnacentral:rRNA from 1 species
UACGUAGGGUGCAAGCGUUAUCCGGAAUUAUUGGGCGUAAAGAGCUCGUAGGCGGUUUGUCGCGUCUGCUGUGAAAACUGGGGGCUCAACCCCCAGCCUGCAGUGGGUACGGGCAGACUAGAGUGCGGUAGGGGAGAUUGGAAUUCCUGGUGUAGCGGUGGAAUGCGCAGAUAUCAGGAGGAACACCGAUGGCGAAGGCAGGUCACUGGGCCGCAACUGACGCUGAGGAGCGAAAGCAUGGGGAGCGAACAGG